CCUACGGGAGGCAGCAGUAGGGGAUCUUGCGCAAUGGGCGAAAGCCUGACGCAGCGACGCCGCGUGAGGGAAGAAGGCCUUCGGGUUGUAAACCUCUUUCAGGAGGGACGAAGCCACUCGGGUUAAUAGCCUAGAGGGUGACGGUACCUCCAGAAGAAGCCCCGGCUAACUACGUGCCAGCAGCCGCGGUAAU
rnacentral:rRNA from 1 species